rnacentral:rRNA from 1 species
AUCUAGCUUGCUAGAUAUGAUUAGUGGCGGACGGGUGAGUAACAUUUAGGAAUCUGCCUAGUAGUGGGGGAUAGCUCGGGGAAACUCGAAUUAAUACCGCAUACGACCUACGGGUGAAAGGGGGCGCAAGCUCUUGCUAUUAGAUGAGCCUAAAUCAGAUUAGCUAGUUGGUGGGGUAAAGGCCCACCAAGGCGACGAUCUGUAACUGGUCUGAGAGGAUGAUCAGUCACACCGGAACUGAGACACGGUCCGGACUCCUACGGGAGGCAGCAGUGGGGAAUAUUGGACAAUGGGGGCAACCCUGAUCCAGCCAUGCCGCGUGUGUGAAGAAGGCCUUUUGGUUGUAAAGCACUUUAAGCAGGGAGGAGAGGCUAAUGGUUAAUACCCAUUAGAUUAGACGUUACCUGCAGAAUAAGCACCGGCUAACUCUGUGCCAGCAGCCGCGGUAAUACAGAGGGUGCGAGCGUUAAUCGGAAUUACUGGGCGUAAAGCGAGUGUAGGUGGCUCAUUAAGUCACAUGUGAAAUCCCCGGGCUUAACCUGGGAACUGCAUGUGAUACUGGUGGUGCUAGAAUAUGUGAGAGGGAAGUAGAAUUCCAGGUGUAGCGGUGAAAUGCGUAGAGAUCUGGAGGAAUACCGAUGGCGAAGGCAGCUUCCUGGCAUAAUAUUGACACUGAGAUUCGAAAGCGUGGGUAGCAAACAGGAUUAGAUACCCUGGUAGUCCACGCCGUAAACGAUGUCUACUAGCCGUUGGGGUCCUUGAGACUUUAGUGGCGCAGUUAACGCGAUAAGUAGACCGCCUGGGGAGUACGGCCGCAAGGUUAAAACUCAAAUGAAUUGACGGGGGCCCGCACAAGCGGUGGAGCAUGUGGUUUAAUUCGAUGCAACGCGAAGAACCUUACCUGGUCUUGACAUAGUGAGAAUCCUGCAGAGAUGCGGGAGUGCCUUCGGGAAUU